AAAUUUUCAAAUAACAGUAUACAACUUUAUUAAAUUUUGCUUAACAUAAAAACUUAAAAAAGCAUGUACAACUAUCAUAUAUCUGAAUGAAAUUUCAAAAUGAUAUAAUUUAAAUACAAUCAGUAAUUGGUCGGAUGGACUCGACGAUUGCUGGAUGGACUACUGAUUAUAAUUAAAUGAUGGAAGCGUGCUGUGCUUCCAACUUGGAGAAUCUGGCUUCAAUUCCCGGAUCUCAUAUCAGUUUUUUUCAGGAGACGCCCGGGUCCAGUUCGUUGAAUUCCAUCUUCCUGAUGGCUGAUCCCAUCAGGGAUAUGGACGGCCAUGAUAGGCACGGAAAUACCCCGCCGCUUAGUACUCACCAAAAUGGAAAGCGGCGUAAAACUACACCGCUUUCCGAAUAUAUAUUUGUAUAUAUAUAUAUAAUCAGUUAGUAAAGAGUGGUGAAUCAACGUGACUUUCCAUUAUCAUUCCAUUUUACAACUUUUAGAUAUAUAUGUGUAUUUGAAUCAGGAUAAAAGACAAAGAACAUGAACGAUAAAUAUAAUUGGAACUUCGAUUAUAAAGCAUGAUAUAAGG
rnacentral:lncRNA from 1 species